CCUCUUUAAUAGAAAACCUACCUGCCAGCAGCUGCCACAGCCUCUAGCAGUGUCUGCAGCUGAAACCCGCACACUGAGCCCAAGGAGCUGAUCAUGGCCAAUGACAAUCUGUGGUAUGAAGGGAUACCUUUCCCGAGGGUCAAUUUCAAACUUGAAAUCCUCAGAAAAGCACAAGAAGAGUUUAUGGUAGAGGAUGAUGAUGUUGUAACAGUGACUUACCCCAAAUCAGGAACAAACUGGUUAAUAGAGAUACUCUGCCUGAUUCACUCCAAGGGGGAUACCAAGUGGAUCCAGUCUGUGCCCAUCUGGAAACACUCACCCUGGAUAGAGACUCAGUAUGGGUUUGCGUCAGCAAAUAAAAUGGAGGGCCCACGCUUGCUCAGUUCUCACCUCCCCAUCCAUCUCUUCCCCAAGUCUUUCUUCAGUUCCAAAGCCAAGGUAAUUUAUGUCAUCAGAAAUCCCAAAGAUAUUAUUGUAUCUGGCCAUUUCUUCUGGAAUUCCGUGAAUUUGGCUAAGAAACCAAAGUCAAUGGAACAAUACCUUGAAUGGUUCCUGGAAGGAAAUGUGCCAUAUGGGUCAUGGUUUGACCACGUUCGUGGCUGGGUGUCCAUGAGAGAGAGGGAGAACUUCCUGAUGCUGAGUUAUGAGGAGCUGAAACAGGACACAGAAAGAACUGUGGAGAAGAUCUGUCAUUUCCUGGGUAAGAAGGUAGAGCCAGAAGAACUCAGCCUAAUCCUCAAGAACAGCUCCUUCCAGGCCAUGAGAGAAAACAAGAUGUCCAAUUUCUCCCUGCUGGGUGAUGCUUAUUUAGUUCACAAAAACCCACUUCUGAGAAAAGGAGUAACUGGGGACUGGAAAAAUUACUUUACGAUAGCCCAGGCUGAAACCUUUGAUAAAGUAUUCCAGGAAAAGAUGGCAGAUCUUCCUCGGGAGCUGUUCCCAUGGGAAUAACGUCUAUGAUAUUUCUGGAUCUUAUAUGGAUACUGAUAUUUGUUCUCCUGUCUCUACAUGUGUGCACAAUUGGGGGUCAUUGCAUAAAACCUACUAUUUCAUCCUGGAGCCUUGAAUGAUCAAAUCUUUGUAUCUUUGACCAGUUCCUUGUUAAAAAUCACCAUAGUACCCCUACACAUGUCAUGGGAUCCCAGACCCUAAAUGUUUGUAGUGUUUCAAACAUAGAAAAUGCUACAGAAAUAAUAUAAGUGUUAUCCAUAAGUGUGUUCAAAAUACAAGUUUUUUUGAGACAGAUUCUUGCUGUGUCACUGGAACUAGAAUGCAAUGAUGUCAUCAUAGCUCCCUGCAACCUCCAACUACUAGGCUUGAGAAAUUCUCCUGUCUUGGCCUCCUGAGUACCUGACAUUACAGGUGUGCACUUCUAUUCCCACAUAAUUAUUAUUAUUAUUAUUUUUUUCCUCCUCUUACUCAGGAGGAUCUCCAAUGUCUGGCCUCAAGUAAUACUCCCACAGUCAGCCUCCCACAGUCCCAGUAUUACAGUGAUGAGCUGUGAAGACUGGCCAAAUUUUUUUUAUAAAAAUUAGAAAGAGUGACAGUUAUAGAUGUGAGACCAAGAAUAAUAAAAAUAAGAAAUAAAUCAUAGAAGCAAUUAAGGCCCCUUCUCUUCUCAUCAGGUGUAUCUUUACAAUUUAUUAUUAUUAUGGACUUAUGAACAUAAUUUCUACAGAAAAACAGACUGUUCCAUAAAAUGAGUGAGGCCAUUUUGAAGAUAAACCACCUUGACCAACAUUUCACACCUACAUGGCAAAAUGUUCUGCAGCAAAGUCUUUCAACUAUGCCUACAGCCUACACAACCCCUCAUAAAUGUACAGUACACCCUCCAUAGUUGAUCACCUCCCUACAUUGACCACUUCCUUAUGUUGACCUAAUUUUCUUUUCUUUUUCUUUUUUUUUUUUUUUGAGACGGAGUCUCACUAUGUCACCCUCAAUAGAGUGCCAUGGCAUCAGCUCACAGUAACCUCUAACUCUUGGGCUUAAGCAAUUCUCUUGCCUCAGACUCCCAAGUAAUUGGGACUACAGGUGCCUGCCACAACACCCGGCAAUUUUUUUUUGUUGAACUUGUCAUUGUUAUUUAGCAGGCCCAGAUCUGGUUCGAACCUGUCUGUUUAGAGUAUAUGGCCGGCACCCUAACCACUGAGCUAUGGGUACCAAGCCCAUUAAGCUAAUUUUCAUGGACCAACAUGCACCACAUGUACGUAUAAGUCCUAGUUCCUUCUGUUGACCAUCUGUGUGUCUUGACCAGUUUAUUAAAGUCCUUCAGGAGGUCAACUUACAGAGGUUCUUCUGUGCUUAUCUAAUCUCUCCAGUGGUCAUUCCAAAGCCCAUCUAAGACAUGACCAGCUGCUUCUGUUUUACCCUAAAACCUUGGUGUAGAAACCAGGAUGUUUUCUAGAGGGCGAAUGUGAGGACCUAAUGUCUCUCAACCACCAAGACAUCACUUCAGGUUUUUCACUCAAAAUUGGUCCUGAGGACAUAAUGGGACUCAGAGCAGAAACGUUUGGUAAGACUGCACCAUAAAUGACUUUGUGAAGCUCAUACUGUACCACAGUGAUCUGAUUCAUUUUGCUUCCUGACAUAGGACUGUCCUGAGCUAAAGAUGGACAAUCUUAAGUGGCUUGGCCAGACAAGAUCUGCAAGGAACAGACCUAGCUUCUUCCUCAGUGCAUAUCAGGACUGUUCUGAUGAAGGAGCAUGUGGGCAGACUUACUGGGGAGACAGGAGAAUGCAGAGCUCUGUGCCUCACACUUGUGCCCACUCAGGGCAUCCUCACUGCAGAGGGGGUGCUCCCUUCCCACCCUGCUGUGAGCUCCCAUGGGCUCAUGAAUGAGGAGUUACCAGGAACAUGGUCUUAAAAGCUUGGGGAUCCUAUGGUGACAGCUGACCCAGCUGUUGCUGCUUUCUCAUGUCUGAUGUGUUGGUCUCUGGACCGACUCUGAGUCCUUCAUGCAGUGCAUCCUUCAAGGGGGUGCCAAGCAAUCACUGAGCAGCAAGUUCAGCACAUCACACCCAUUUCAACACAAAGCUGGCACUGGUCGGCAUUAUAAUUGACACCUUCCUGUAUAUAAUGCCUCAGCCACCACUACUAUCUGGGGGCUGACAGAAUGCUGGAUUGCCUGACACAGGAAUCUAUACAUUAUUUCUUCCAAGCAAAAGAUCAAUUGUCUGGCAAUGGGAUUGCAAUGAAGGGCACAUGACCUCACAAUUCACUGUACACGGAGAAAAGCAAGACGCUGUAUGUCUUUGGAAGACAGAGCCUACUUCGGUGUCACAAUGGAACGUACAAUUAAAAAAAUGGACGAAGAUUAUUAGUACUUUUAGAUGCAUGGGUUAUUCAGAAAUUUCUUGUUUAAUUUAAAAGUAUUUGAAGAUUGGGCAGUGCCUGUGGCUCAAAGGAGUAGAGCGCUGACCCCAUAUACCAGAGCUGGCGGGUUCGAACCUGGCCCUGGCCAAAAACUGCAAAAAAUUUUUUUUGAAGAUUUAUAGAUAUCUUAUGGUUGUUGAUUUAUAAUUUAAUGCUGUUAAUGUAAGAGAGUAAUUUAUAUUAUUUCCAAUUCAUGACAUUUGUUGAGCUUUGUCUGAUGGCAGAGCAUUUGGCCUGUCUUGGUGAAUAAGCCUUGUGACUUGAAAAGAAUGCGUAUUAUAUUGCUUUUAGGUGUAGUAUUCUGAAAAGACAAAUUAAGUCCUAUUGGUUGGAUCAAUGUUCUCCAGUGACCCUGGUGGAUAGGAAGUACUUUUGAUUUGCAUUUCCCUAAUGACUAAUAACCUUGAACCACUUUUCCUGCAUGUGUUGGCUGUUUGCUUAUCUUCUUUGAAUGUCUACUUCAGUUUUGGGCCCAUUUUUUAAUUGACUUUUAUUGUUGAAUUCUUUAUUUGUUCAGAAAUAUAUUUUGUAAAUAUUGUCUCCUAUUCUGUAGGUUUUUUUUCCACAGUCUUAGUAGUGUUCUUUGAGGCACAAAAGUUUUUCACUUCAACCUGCACCAAUUCAUCUAUUUUUUUCUUCUUCCUUAGCAUGUGAAUUGAUGUUUCCUUGGGAAAGAAAUCACUGGCAAAUUCAAGGUCAUGGACAUUUACCCAUAUCUUUAGUCUAAGAGUUUUAGGAUAUUUCAGUUAUUCGAUCCAUUUUAAUUAAGUAAUGUAUACAUUAUAAGGUAAGUUUCCAGCUUUAUUCUUUUCAUGUAAAUAUAUAGUUGUUACUGCCUCAGUUGUUGAGGAGGAUAGUUUUUUUUUUUUUUUUAGGUAGAAUCUCACUCUGUUACCCAGGCAAGGGUAGAGUGGCGUCAUCACAGCUCACAGCAACCUCAAACUUGUGGGCCCAGGUGAUCCUCCCACUAAGCUGUGACUAUGGGUCACAGGCCAAGUUUUUCUACUUUUCAUAGGGAUGACGUCUCACUGUUGCGCAAGCUGGUCUUGAACUUCUCAGCUCAAGUAAUUGUCCCACCUUAGCUUCUCACGGUGCUACAAUUGUAGUUGCAAGCCUCUGUGCCUGGCCAAUUAUUCUUUUAUCUCUCAAAAUUUCAGUGUGUAUUUCCUAAGAACAAAGAUAAGUGUUGUAUGUCCACAGUAAAAUUAUAGAAAUCAGGGAAACUGAUAAUGAUACAAAAUUAUUCAACAUCAUCUAAAUCCACAUUGUAUGUUCAGAUUUGAGCAAUUGAUCCAUUGACAUAAUUACAACAUGGUGUGCAUGUGUGGUCCAGGACACACACAGCACUUAGCUUCAUGUUCCUUCAUUUUGAGACUUGUGCUCCAUUUCUUUGUUUUCAUGACCAUGUGACAAUUCAGAGUACAGGCUUAUUAUUUUGCAGAAUGUUUCUCUAUUGGGCGUUAUACAAUGUGAUCUUAUGAAUAUAUUCAAGUCCAGAACAGAUGUUUAAGACAGGCCCACAGAGAAAGGGAGGAGGGGAAAAGGAAAAUUACAGUGGAGAAAUCUGAAACAUGUGACUUCAGAUGACCAAUGUAAGGCCAUGUUGAUAGUAAGUACUCUUGAUAUUUUGUGAUGAUAAUGCCAUUUGUGUCUAUGACCUGUCUCUUCAUGAACCCAGUCUAAUUAUGAGAAAAAAAAAAAUCCAAUCAGUCUCACUGUGGGGACAGUCUACAAAAUAACCGACCAGUACUUCUCAAAAUUGUCAGACCUCAAAAACAAAGGAAGUCUGAGAAACAGUCACAGCUGAGAGGAGCCAAGAGAGACUUGAUGAUGAUAUGUAAUCUGAUGACCGGGAUGGGGUUUUGGAGAAGAAAAAGAACAUUAGGUAAAAAUUCAGGAAAUCUGGGCUGGGUGCAGUUCUCAUACCUAUAAUCCUAGCACGUGGGGGGCUGAGACAGGUGGAUUGCCUGAGUUCACAGGUUCGAGACCAGCCUGAGCCAGAGUGAGACCUCAUCUCUAAAAAAGCUAGGCAUUGUGGUGGGCGCCUGCAGUCUCAGCUACUCAGGAGGCUGAGGCAAAAGAAUCACUUGAGCCCAAGAGUUUAAGGUUGCUAUGAGCUAUGACGCCACGGCUCUCUACCGAGGGUGACAAAGUGAGACACUGUCUCAAAAAAAAAAAAAAAAUUCAGGAAAUCUGAAUGAGGUAUGGACAAUGGGAUUCAGCUGGAAUCUUUUUGCCAUUUUUCUGUAAAUCUAAAAAUGUUUUAAAAAAUAACACUGAUUAAAACUAUUUUUUAUAUACACACAUUUUUAUGUCCUUGCAUUUGUUAGUGAAUUUCCAGUUCACUCCUAUGAAUUCAACUCACAUUGUCUUCAGAAUGUUUUCUUCUUUUUUUUUUUUAUUAAAUCAUAGCUGUGUACAUUAAUGCAAUCAUGGGGCACCAUACACUGAUUUUAUAGACCAUUUGACACAUUUUCAUCACACUGGUUAACAUGGCCUUCCUGGCAUUUUCUUAGUUAUUGUGUUAAGACAUUUCCAUUCUACAUUUACUAAGUUUCACAUAUACCCUGGUAAGAUGCACCGCAGGUAUAAUCCCACCAAUCCCUCUCCCUCCGCCCUCCUCCUCCCUCCCUCCACUCCCUUUCCCCCUUCCCUCUAUUCUUAGGUUAUAACUGGGUUAUAGCUUUCAUGUGAAAACCAUAAAUUAGUUUCAUAGUAGGGCUGAGUACAUUGGAUACUUUUUCUUCCAUUCUUGAGAUACUUUACUAAGAAGAAUAUGUCCAGCUCCAUCCAUGUAAACAUGAAAGAGGUAAUGUCUCCAUCUUUCUUUACGGCUGCAUAAUAUUCCAUGGUAUACAUGUACUACAAUUUGCUAGUCCAUUCAUGGGUCGAUGGGCACUUGGGCUUCUUCAUGACUUAGCAAUUAUUAAUUGGGCUGCAAUAAAUAUUCUGGUACAGAUGUCUUUGUUAUGUUGUGAUUUUUGGUCUUCUGGGUAUAAACCUAGUAAAAGAAUUAUAGGAUCGAAUGGCAGGUCUAUUUUUAGAUCUCUAAGUAUUCUCCAAACAUCCUUCCAGAAGGAACGUAUUAGUGUGCAUUCCCACCAGCAGUGUAGAAGUGUGCCCUUUUCUCCACAUCCAAGCCAACAUCUCUGGUUUUGGGAUUUUGUUAUGUGGGCUACUCUUACUGGGGUUAGGUGAUAUCUCAAAGUAGUUUUGAUUUGCAUUUCUCUGAUGAAUAAGGAUGAUGAGCUUUUUUUAUGUGUUUGUAGAUCGUGCAUCUGUCUUCUUUAGAGAAGUUUCUCUUCAAGUCCCUUGCCCACCCUGAGAUGGGAUCACGUGUUCUUUUUUUGCUAAUACAUUUGAGUUCUCUGUGGAUUCUGGUUAUUAGACCUUUAUCAGAGGUAUAACCUGCAAAUAUUUUCUCCUAUUCUGAGGGCUGUCUGCUUGCUUUACUUACUAUGUUCUUGGCUGUGCAGAAGCUUUUUAGUUUGAUCAGGUCCCAGUAGUGCAUUUUUGAUACUGCUUCAAUUGCCUGGGGAGUCCUCCUCAUAAAAUAUUCACCCAGGCUGAUUCCUUCAAGAGUUUUACCAGCACUUUCUUCAAGUAUUUUUAUAGUUUCAUGUCUUAAGUUUAAAUCUUUUAU